rnacentral:rRNA from 1 species
CCGGAAUUAUUGGGUUUAAAGGGUGCGUAGGUGGGCUUAUAAGUCAGCGGUGAAAUCCCCCGGCUCAACCAGGGAAUUGCCGUUGAUACUGUUAGCCUUGAGUACAGUUGAAGUGGGCGGAAUGUAGCAUGUAGCGGUGAAAUGCAUAGAUAUGCUACAGAACACCAAUAGCGAAGGCAGCUCACUAAGUUGUAACUGACACUAAUGCACGAAAGCGUGGGGAUCAAACAGGAUUAGAUACCCUGGUAGUCCACGCUGUAAACGAUGAUCACUCGUUGUUGGCGAUAUACAGUCAGCGACUGAACGAAAGUAUUAAGUAACCCACCUGGGGAGUACGAUCGCAAGGUUGAAACUCAAAGGAAUUGACGGGGGCCCGCACAAGCGGUGGAGCAUGUGGUUUAAUUCGAUGAUACGCGAGGAACCUUACC